CAAUAGCGUAUAUUAAAGUUGUUGCAGUUAAAAAGCUCGUAGUUGGACCUUGGACCUGGACAGGCGGUCCGCCUCACAGCGUGUACUGUCUUGCUGGGUCUUUCCUCUUGGUGAUCUGUUGUUUCGGCAGCAGGGAACCAGGACUUUUACUUUGAAAAAAUUAGAGUGUUCAAAGCAGGCUCGACGCCGGAAUAUAUUAGCAUGGAAUAAUAAAAUAGGACGUGCGGUUCUAUUUUGUUGGUUUUUGGAAUCGCCGUAAUGAUUAAUAGGGACAGUCGGGGGCAUUAGUACUCACAUGCUAGAGGUGAAAUUCUUGGAUUUUGUGAAGACUAACUUCUGCGAAAGCAUUUGCCAAGGAUGUUUUCAUUAA
rnacentral:rRNA from 1 species